AGGGGCGGAGGCGGAGGAGAGGCCUGCGGCGGCAGGGAGCUGUGUGGCCGGGAGAGGGCGCCGGGGCCGAGCCUAGCCGAUCCAGAGCGGGCGGCAAAGGCCGGCGCGGCGAGUAGAAACCAUGUCGGUGUUCGGGAAGCUGUUUGGGGCUGGUGGGGGUAAGGCCGGCAAGGGCGGCCCGACCCCCCAGGAGGCCAUCCAGCGACUGCGGGACACGGAGGAGAUGCUAAGCAAAAAACAAGAGUUCCUGGAGAAGAAGAUUGAGCAAGAAUUGACGGCCGCCAAGAAGCACGGCACCAAAAACAAGCGCGCGGCCCUCCAGGCACUGAAGCGCAAGAAGAGGUACGAGAAGCAGCUGGCGCAGAUUGAUGGCACGCUGUCCACCAUCGAGUUCCAGCGGGAAGCCCUGGAGAACGCCAACACCAACACCGAGGUGCUCAAGAACAUGGGCUACGCUGCUAAGGCCAUGAAGGCCGCACAUGACAACAUGGACAUCAAUAAAGUUGAUGAGUUAAUGCAGGAUAUUGCUGACCAGCAAGAACUUGCAGAGGAGAUUUCCACAGCUAUUUCUAAACCUGUAGGGUUUGGAGAAGUGUUUGAUGAGGAUGAGCUCAUGGCAGAAUUGGAAGCACUAGAACAGGAGGAGCUCGACAAGAAUUUGCUGGAGAUCAGCGGUCCUGAAACAGUUCCUCUACCAAAUGUUCCCUCAAUAGCCCUACCAUCCAAACCC